rnacentral:tRNA from 1 species
CGGUCACUUACGACGGUGUUGAUUUAAUCGGCUACACGCCGUGGGGCAUUAUUGAUAUUGUCUCCUUCACAACUGGC